UUUAAUCUUUUACAGAUGGUGAGGAAAUAUCAAGACCAUCAAUCAGACGUGACCCAUCAUUGAUGCCAUCCAAUCAAGUACCUAAUUUAUCCAUGCACCCACCCUGCUGAACUUCAUUCACAUUUCAAUUAAUGAAACUCUCAGAGCCUGUGGCCGGUCCACAAAUAUUCUCAUAUGAAUACAUAUCGCUGCCGAUUUUGACGAUUGUUGCUCAAGGAACCAAUCUCCUCAAGGGUGUAUUGAAGUUGAACAAGGGAAGCUUUAGACCCUCAACUUAUUCAACAAAAUAGUUUCAUUUACACUGAUAGGGUGAGGAAGCAAAUCAUAAAACCAUGACCACAAGAAGCAACAAGAAUUGAAUAAUGAAAAGAAAGCCAAUGUCCUGAGCAGGAGAGAGCAAGAAUUAGGACAUGGCAGGUAAUACUCGAUCUUUGAAACUUCCUUGCCCAACACUAUUCAAGGGGCUGCUGCUGUUGGCUGACUAUCUUCACCUGCUCGAGUACGUUUGAAGUAAAAAACCAACCCCGGCUACGCCUCGUCCCUUCGCAAGGUGCUCCAACUCCUCAAUUUUGUGCUUGAGAAGCUCUACUUCCUUUGCUAAAAUCCCCAUCCCUUUGUCUCAAUGUCUACGAAGUUAGCAAAAGAUUUGCACACAGAGAUGUUGAAUAACAUUAAUGGCUUUCAAGAUGUUAGUCAAAUUCACCAUAAAUUCCAUUGCAUCACCUCUCUUUCAUGUGCUAAACAUGGACGUAAACAAGAAUGCAAGGAACUUCACUCUAGUAAGAACUAAAUAGCAGUAAGCGCAGGAAGGGAAAGCAUUUCCAUAGAGGUUUUCUGCUAUUGAAGCUUAGACGUGGACAAGUAACAGCAAGAAGGUAAAGCAUUUCCAGAGAAGUUUUCGGCUAUUGAAGCUUAGACGUGGACAAGUAACACCAAGAACACAAGAAAUUUCACAAUAAUAAGCCAUGAAUAGUACUAAUAUUGUUUUUUUGGUGAGCCAUAAUAGCAAUGAUAAAAGGGAAGCAUUUUUCCGACGAAUGCAUUUUUCUUGUUCUAUUAGCUAGUAGAAUAUACUUUUAAGAAAUAAUAAAUAAAUAUGAUAAAUAAUAUAUUUAUUUUAAAGCCCUAUUCUUUGUAUUCAUAAAUGUUUGUACAUGGAAAAAGAUUUGAUGAUGUUGUAAACCUAUUUUUUCUCUUUCUGACGAAUCCUCUUUCUCAGUAGUAAAAUUUGGAAAGAGAAAAAUCUGUACUGUAAUCUCCAUGAGGCACUAAAUACAGACUAAGGAUGUACAAGAAUUUUGGGAAGUUCAAAUAGUUGGUGCUAUAACGAGUUUAAACUGUCCAGCACAUAACGGUUCGUUUUAUAACCGUCACGGCGAAGAUGGAGAUGUUCGAAAUGGCCAUUAUAUCCUCCAUGCUAAGUCCAAGCUAAAAGACUUUAAACUGUCUAGCACAUGACGGUUUGUUUAAAACUGCAGGGUCAAGGUAUGGACGUUUGAGGUAGCCGCAAUACGCCACCAACACCCAUACUUGACUGACCCCUUUCAUAUAUAGUCCACGCCUCAAGACUCUAAACUCAUUGGUGCAUACUCCAUAGCACAUCACUAUAAAUUGCUUGUUACUGGCAACAUAUAUAGCCACCUGGUAUGAAUUUCCAAAAUCUUGAUUUCCCCUAAAUCCACACUCACUUUCAAACAAUUACAGCAAUGCAUUUUUCUUGUUCUAUUUGUGCAUCUGUUUGCUACAGAAAAGUCUCUUCGCUUAGUCUUUCAUUUUGCAUCAAUUAUAUUUUCCAUCAAUUUAUAACCUGAACUUUUUUGGCACGUUAUCUCAGUCUGGUUUUGCUGCAGACCAUAACAUAUGUCCUGACAGGAGAUUUAGUUACAGAUAUGAGGCUCAAAAGAGAAACAACUAAACAUAUUUGGCUUUUGAGAUUGGAAUAUCUUUGGAUGACUUUCCUGUUGAUCUAUUUUAAGUUGAAGGGCAGCUAAGCUUGAGAUACCUCCUCAAGACCAUAGUUAUCAAUGGAAAAACACAGUUCUACAUGUGCCGUAUUUCUUUAUUGAGUUCUAUAACAUAUAUAAACACAUAAACAAUCAAAUGCACCCAAAAAAUAAAAGCUUCUGAAAGAACUUAUUCUGCUACGGAAAAUGCUAAAAAAUGGAAACUUGUCAGAAUUUGUACUUUGCUCAUGCUGACUGACACAAACAGACAUGUGCAACAAGUGCUCUCACAAUAGUUACUUAAAAUAAGAUCUCCUUGGCAAGAGAUUCUCAUAAAUAUAUCGUAAAAAUACAUGAAUGAAUAUGGAAAAAGAAAGCAAUGGCAAUUGCACCAAAGGGAAGAAUUUAAUGAACUAACCUCCUGCUCCAUCUUUCGUGUUUGUUCCUUCCAUCAACCUGCAGUGGCUCAAGCUCUAGAGGAGGAUGAGAGAAAGGAUGGCUAUGGCUUCCAUAGAGAGUAACACCCCAUAUUUGUUAGUGUGCCAGCAAGCUUUAGGCGUGUUUUAAUUGUUGAAGUUCGGCUCCACAUGGAAAUUAGUGUGAAAAAGAGAGAGAGAGAGAGAGAGAGAGAGAGAAAUUGAAAUUAAGAAUUGUAACAAUUACACAUUUACAAGUAUAAUAAUUAACUCAAGAAAUAAUAGAACAUACAAAAUAAUCACCUCAAGAGAUCAAUUACAAAUCUACAACUCUAAUAAUCAGACAACGGUAAUUGAACUUAACAACAACAAACUCAAGACAAUGCAGUCCCUCAACAAACUCAACAGACCCAUUCAAGAUGUCUUGGGGAUCACCAAACCGUGUUGUUGUCAUGGGAGAGACUUAUAUUGCAGGGAGUUUUGAGGUCUUCUCUUUCAUGGCGGUAGGCUUGGUCGAGGGAGACCCCUCUUCUUACUAAAUUUCCCUAGUUCUUUCUCACCACCAUAAAAAUGGCAAGAAGAAGGAGUGGGUUUGUAGCGUAAAUAAUCACCACUAC
rnacentral:lncRNA from 1 species